rnacentral:lncRNA from 10 species
UGGAAACCAGAAUUUAGAAUUUUAAAGUAGGCACAACUCCAGGUGUCACCAAAGUCCACAGAGUAGUCAUGGGAGUGGACCAACAGUCACUGGAACAAGAAGUCAGAAGUGGAUUGGACCUGAAAGGCAAGAGAGUAGGAGGAUUGUAUUGCUGCUUUUAAUGGAGCGAAUCCCCCCUCCCCACCAGAAACAGCAAAGAAACAGCAACUGGAAGAUAACAGAAUCAUGAAAGCAUGAUUGAAGAACAAAAAAAUGGGACAGCUGACACUUCCACUUCUGUUAAGAGUUCUUUGCCAGCCACAUUAUUGGGUAAAAUAUAAUACAAUAAUCAUCAUAAUGGUGGUAUUAUAUUCCACAAGAAAUCAGCUGAUAAAAUUUGGAGUUCUCAAAAAGAUUAUUUAAAAUAAGGAUUUGGGUCUACAGUCUUUAUGCUAAAUACAUGUUGUGCAUUGAGCUAUCUGAUAGUAUAUAUACACAUACAUAUAUUUUAUAUAAUUUUAAAAUAAAUAU